GUCCUUUUGGAUUUUUAUUUAAGGUCUAGUCUGCCCACUGAAUUUAUAUUUUAAAUGGCCGCAGUAUUUUGACUGUGCAAAGGUAGCAUAAUCAUUAGUUUUUUAAUUAAAAGCUUGUAUGAAAGGCUGGACGAGGUAAAAUCUGUCUCUAUUUAAAUUAUAAUAGAAUUUAUCUUUUAAGUUAAAAGACUUAAAUAUUAUUAAAAGACGAGAAGACCCUAUAGAUCUUUAUAAUUUAUUAAAUAAGAUUAAUUUAGAAAUAUUUAUGUUUUAUUUAAUUAAUUAUUUUAUUGGGGUAAUAGAAAGAUUAAAUAAAUUCUUUUUUGUAAUAAACAUUGAUUUAUGAAUAUUAAUGAUCCAAUUUUAUUGAUUAUAAGAUUAAGUUACCUUAGGGAUAACAGCGUAAUUUUUUUAGAGAGUUCAUAUCGAUAAAAAAGUUUGCGACCUCGAUGUUGGAUUAAAGAUUAUUUUAGGUGCAGAAGCUUAAUAAUUUUGGUCUGUUCGACCAUUGAAUCUUUAC
rnacentral:rRNA from 1 species